rnacentral:rRNA from 1 species
GACGAACGCUGGCGGCGUGCCUAAUACAUGCAAGUUGAGCGAUGAAGCUUGGUGCUUGCACCAAUUUGAAGAGCAGCGAACGGGUGAGUAACGCGUGGGGAAUCUGCCUUUGAGCGGGGGACAACAUUUGGAAACGAAUGCUAAUACCGCAUAACAACUUUAAACAUAAGUUUUAAGUUUGAAAGAUGCAAUUGCAUCACUCAAAGAUGAUCCCGCGUUGUAUUAGCUAGUUGGUGAGGUAAAGGCUCACCAAGGCGAUGAUACAUAGCCGACCUGAGAGGGUGAUCGGCCACAUUGGGACUGAGACACGGCCCAAACUCCUACGGGAGGCAGCAGUAGGGAAUCUUCGGCAAUGGACGAAAGUCUGACCGAGCAACGCCGCGUGAGUGAAGAAGGUUUUCGGAUCGUAAAACUCUGUUGGUAGAGAAGAACGUUGGUGAGAGUGGAAAGCUCAUAAAGUGACGGUAACUACCCAGAAAGGGACGGCUAACUACGUG